GGGUCAGUAGGUUGGUCAUGCCACUGGUAUGUACUGGUCUCACUGAUUCCUCCUUCCUGAUGAACUGUAAUGCCAUUAAUUUGGUGUUGCAGGGAAUCUGGACUGUUACUUUGAAAAAAUUAGAGUGUUUAAAGCAAGCUAACGCUUGAAUACAUUAGCACGGAAUAAUGAAAUAGGACGUUCGAUCCUAUUUUGUUGGUUUCUAGGAUUGACGUAAUGAUUAAUAGGGAUAGUUGGGC
rnacentral:rRNA from 1 species